AUCUAAGUACCUGAAGGAAGAGAAAGAAAUUCGAUUCCGUAAGUAGCGGCGAGCGAACGCGGAUUAGCCCAAACCAAUAAAGUUUUCUUUAUUGGGGUUGCGGACAUAUCAUAACGGAGAGGUAUCGUAAUUGAAGAGGUUUGGAAAGACCCACCACAGAAGGUAAUAGUCCUGUAUGUUAAACGAGAAGACUUUAGAUAUGAUCCAGAGUACCACGGGACACGUGAAACCCUGUGGGAAGCAG
rnacentral:rRNA from 1 species